rnacentral:lncRNA from 1 species
GACUUGGCUUUCACCUCAGGAACUCUUCGAAACAGUUGUUUUGAAGGCAAUCUGCUAAGAUGGUUUGUGAAGCGCCGUUUUCUCUGCCCAUCUUGAGGGGGGACGGCUCCUUCCGCCACUUGGUCAAAUUACGGAGUGGGGCUGCUGUCCUUUGACAUGACUCUGUCCCCCCGGCCUCAGUGACUGUUGAGCAAUGCGUACAAUUAAAGUCAAAACCCUGGAUUUUCCCUCUCCAGCAUCCACAGGCUGCAGAGAGUGGAGCCUGGGUCUCUCUGUGCCUAAAUGAUUCGGUGGAGUGAGUGUCACUGUCCAAGGGAGAGAAAGUGAAGCCUGGAGUACCAAGCAUCUGUGCUGCUGGCUGGAUACUCAACCAAACACUGAAUCAGGGCACUGGGCCUUUAAGACAGAAGAAAACACAUUCUGGCGGGGUGGAGCCUGGCCCAAUUAUCCAGGUGCCGGGAUGUUGCUGGGGCCUGCCUUUGUUAGGAUCAGGUCUUGGUGGUUCUGGUUUGCAGUUCUGGCAGCACCAGCCCCGCUUCCCUACUUCCCGCCACACAAGGAAGGUUUGGCAGCGCAGGCACCCGGAAUCCAGAGCUUCUGCGUCUGCCGAGUGCCCUGAGCAAAGAUGCAGGCCCUUUCUGCUGGGGUCCCCGCUGCGGGCCGACUCCGGUGGGAACCACCUCUCUGAACCUGCAGAGCCUAGGCUCCUCCAGCUGGGCCACAUGUUCCCAAGGGAGGCGGCCGAUGGUAGGACUGGCCCGUCAAGGAGAUGCCAGUGUCCAGAGAGGGAGGCCUGAUACCCUCCACUGUGAAAUCAGACCCUGUAAAGCUGGUACAGGAGGGGCCUCCCCAGGAGACAAACCCGCCCUUCCUUCCUGGUGGUUCUUGGCUAUAAACUUUGAUCAAAGAAAACACUAUCUUUCACAUCUUUCCAAGCCUACCCUUCAGCUCCAAGACUAAGAAUUAGACCCUCUCCUUUUACCUCCUAAGGGUCCUUCGGGGAGGAUCCUCUUCCAUUCCACAAGAAUUGACUCAGUGUGACUGGGUAGACAGCUCCUGCCAUUGGUGCCCCUGAAGGAGCCUGGUCGUCUUUUCCCUACCAUACACACCCUCUGGUCUCUGCUCGCCCACCCGCCAUGCAACAGAAAUUUUCUUCUGUAACUUGGGGAGGAUAAAAUAUUUUUGGUAGCGAAGGGUUCAGAGAAGAUAAAGGGGUGUCCGACAUCCUUUCUCUUGAUUGGUCCUGUGGACUGGCAUACAGCCCAAUUUGGGAGUUGAGGGUGGGUAGGGAUGUCACGAACCAGGGCUCUUGGCCUUUCCCAGGCCAUAGAAAUUGACGAGAGGCCAGACCAGAAAUUCAAGCAAGGCUCUAUUGGGGCCCCUGCUGCAGCAGGAGGGAGAGAGAACAAACAACCGAUUCCCUUGCUUGCUCACUCCAAGAGGGGCAGGCGAACUUGUUCCUUAUAUGGGGUGAGGGUAGGGAUGUGUCCAGGGGUCGGGCAGAGGCUUUUUGUCCACCC